rnacentral:rRNA from 1 species
GUCCACGCCGUAAACGAUGAGUGCUAGUUGUCGGCAUGCAUGCAUGUCGGUGACGCAGCUAACGCAUUAAGCACUCCGCCUGGGGAGUACGGUCGCAAGAUUAAACUCAAGGAAUUGACGGGGGCCCGCACAAGCGGUGGAGCAUGUGGUUUAAUUCGAAGCAACGCGCAGAACCUUACCACCUUUUGACAUGCCCUGACAUCCGGAGAGAUCCGGCUUUCCCUUCGGGGACAGGGACACAGGUGCUGCAUGGCUGUCGU